rnacentral:lncRNA from 1 species
GUUAAACAAAUAUUUAUAAAUAAUUAUGUAUUAAGUAUCAUGUAAUAAAAAUGUGAUAAAUAUUUUUGAAAUAAAAGUAUAAUCAAAAUGAAAUAUAUUUAAAAUAUAAUUAUUCUAAUCUUGCAAACAAAAACAAAGUAUUAUUCACUGGAAGCGGAAAAAAAAAGCGCUCCAAGAUUUGCUCUAAGAAUCUCUCUUGAGGUUGAUUAUUUCAAUAUUUCUUCUUUUCUUUCCCCUCCUUACCCUGUCUUGUCUCAUCUUUCUACAUAGCGUUAUCUUCUCACUUUGUUUUCGUUCUUAUACGGCUAUGUGCUGAUAUCUAUAGUUUUCUCCUCUUUUGAGUGAGUGUCAAAGUUUCCCGACGAAGGAUUUGCUUCUGUUUUCUGGUGCGGUGGUGACCUAUCUUUUCACGUGGUUCUUGACGAUCUCUGUUAUGUUGGUUACUCUUGCCCUUGUUUCGUCCCUGCUGGUGAGUUUUUUCAUCCCGUGGAAGAUCCAAAAAGCAUGGAGAAUGGGAAAAGAUCUCGAUCUACUCUAUACAUCAUCUUCAAGGCUCUGCUUUCGUUGCGCCCUCCCAAAAUCUUUGUCCUUGAUAUUAUGCUAUUGGGGGACUGUAACGACGGACUUGAUAAGGAAAGGAGAAACCUGCAAUUCCAAGUCCAAAUAAAAAAUAUUAAUUUGGAAAAUGACAAAAGUGUAGAAGAAGAUUCUGAUUUCUGCGUUUGGGAUGAAGAAGAUAUAAAAGAAGUUUUCAAAGAAAAUAAAAAAUGUUAUUCCGGGAAAAUUCUUGUCCAAUAA